AGGAAGAAGCUUGCUUCUUUGCUGACGAGUGGCGGACGGGUGAGUAAUGCUUGGGAAUCUGGCUUAUGGAGGGGGAUAACUACGGGAAACUGUAGCUAAUACCGCGUAGUCUCUGAGGAGUAGAGUGUGGGACCGCAAGGCCACAUGCCAUAAGAUGAGCCCAAGUGGGAUUAGGUAGUUGGUGGGGUAAAGGCCUACCAAGCCGACGAUCUCUAGCUGGUCUGAGAGGAUGACCAGCCACACUGGAACUGAGACACGGUCCAGACUCCUACGGGAGGCAGCAGUGGGGAAUAUUGCGCAAUGGGGGUAACCCUGACGCAGCCAUGCCGCGUGAAUGAAGAAGGCCUUCGGGUUGUAAAGUUCUUUCGGUGAUGAGGAAGGCAAGUGAGUUAAUAGCUUACUUGAUUGACGUUAAUCACAGAAGAAGCACCGGCUAACUCCGUGCCAGCAGCCGUGGUAAUACGGAGGGUGCGAGCGUUAAUCGGAAUAACUGGGCGUAAAGGGCACGCAGGCGGCUAUUUAAGUGAGAUGUGAAAUCCCCGAGCUUAACUUGGGAAUUGCAUUUCAGACUGGGUAGCUAGAGUACUUUAGGGAGGGGUAGAAUUCCACGUGUAGCGGUGAAAUGCGUAGAGAUGUGGAGGAAUACCGAAGGCGAAGGCAGCCCCUUGGGAAUGUACUGACGCUCAUGUGCGAAAGCGUGGGGAGCAAACAGGAUUAGAUACCCUGGUAGUCCACGCUGUAAACGAUGUCGAUUUGGGGAUUGGGCUAUAAGCUUGGUGCCCGAAGCU
rnacentral:rRNA from 1 species